rnacentral:rRNA from 1 species
UGCCAGCCGCCGCGGUAAUACGUAGGGGGCAAGCGUUAUUCGGAAUCAUUGGGCGUAAAGAGUUCGUAGGCGGAGUAUUAAGUCGGGUGUGAAAGUGUCCAGCUCAACUGGGCAAAGCCACUCGAAACUGUUACUCUUGAGUCAGGUAGAGGUCGGCGGAAUUCCAGGUGUAGCGGUGGAAUGCUUAGAUAUCUGGAAGAACACCGGUGGCGAAGGCGGCCGACUGGGCCUGUACUGACGCUGAGGAACGAAAGCCAGGGGAGCGAACGGGAUUAGAUA